UGAUAUGCCAAACGAAGAAUUUCGGGCAUUUCGCAUAUUUACAGUUAUGUGCCGAACUUAACGCCGAGCCUCAAAAGUCAAAACGGUGAUGGAUUACUAAAACACCUAAAGGUUCUAACAGGUGUAAUAACACCUGCUAGCUGAUGGCAACUAGUCCAUUGGUCAGACUACUGUGAGCCAGUAGCUAUUGAAGCAAUUUGUAAUAGCUGUAAAUAGAAGAAAACUUCUCUUGGAUCAAGGGAGAAAUUAAGGAAGGCGCUCCUCAAGGACUUCCUAAGCAUCAUGCACAAAACCGGCUGUUACUAAGAGUGUGCGCUUGCGAGUUGCUAGCGAGCUUAAUAAAUACA